CACGUAGGGUGCGAGCGUUGUCCGGAAUUAUUGGGCGUAAAGAGCUCGUAGGCGGUGUGUCGCGUCGGCCGUGAAAACCUGCAGCUUAACUGUGGGCUUGCGGUCGAUACGGGCAUCACUGGAGUUCGGCAGGGGAGACUGGAAUUCCUGGUGUAGCGGUGAAAUGCGUAGAUAUCUGGAGGAACACCGGUGGCGAAGGCGGCAUCCUGGACCGGUAUUGACGCUGAGGGCGCGAAAAGCCAGGGG
rnacentral:rRNA from 1 species